rnacentral:rRNA from 1 species
UGGGGAAUAUUGCACAAUGGGCGCAAGCCUGAUGCAGCCAUGCCGCGUGUAUGAAGAAGGCCUUCGGGUUGUAAAGUACUUUCAGCGGGGAGGAAGGGAGUAAAGUUAAUACCUUUGCUCAUUGACGUUACCCGCAGAAGAAGCACCGGCUAACUCCGUGCCAGCAGCCGCGGUAAUACGGAGGGUGCAAGCGUUAAUCGGAAUUACUGGGCGUAAAGCGCACUCAGGCGGUUUGUUAAGUCAGAUGUGAAAUCCCCGGGCUCAACCUGGGAACUGCAUCUGAUACUGGCAAGCUUGAGUCUCGUAGAGGGGGGUAGAAUUCCAGGUGUAGCGGUGAAAUGCGUAGAGAUCUGGAGGAAUACCGGUGGCGAAGGCGGCCCCCUGGACGAAGACUGACGCUCAGGUGCGAAAGCGUGGGGAGCAAACAGG